AGCUGAACACCCAGAUACCCAUGAACAGGUUCCUAACCAGUUUAUAGUAGAUAUACUCAACCCUCAGUCUAGCUGAACACCCGGAUACCCAUGAACAGGUUCCUAACCAGUUUAUAGUAGACUUACUCAACCCUCAGUCUAGCUGAACACCCAGAUACCCAUGAACAGGUUCCUAACCAGUUUAUAGUAGACAUACUCAACCCUCAGUCUAGCUGAACACCCAGAUACCCAUGAACAGGUUCCUAACCAGUUUAUAGUAGAUAUCCUCAACCCUCAGUCUAGCUGAACACCCAGAUACCCAUGAACAGGUUCCUAACCAGUUUAUAGAAAACAUUCUCAACCCUCAGUCUAGCUGAACACCCAGAUACCCAUGAACAGGUUCCUAACCAGUUUAUAGUAGAUAUACUCAACCCCCAGUCUAGCUGAACACCCAGAUACCCAUGAACAGGUUCCUAACCAGUUUAUAGUAGAUAUCCUCAACCCUCAGUCUAGCUGAACACCCAGAUACCCAUGAACAGGUUCCUAACCAGUUUAUAGUAGACAUACUCAACCCUCAGUCUAGCUGAACACCCAGAUACCCAUGAACAGGUUCCUAACCAGUUUAUAGUAGACAUACUCAACCCUCAGUCUUGCUGCCAGCAUCCCCACAAACAUGCCCACCAUGUUCACAGACCCCAGGCUCAGAAUACAAUUCCUCUGUCUCUAAUUUAGCUGCCCCCUGACACAAAAUUAAACAAAAUCACUAUGGCAUGUGGACUAAAACACAUGUGGAAUCCUCCAUUGGGGGUCAGAUGUUUAUUGGUGGAUACAUGUAGAAUCCUCCAUUGGAGGUCAGAUGUCUAUUGGUGGAUACAUGUAGAAUCCUCCAUUGGAGGUCAGAUGUCUAUUGGUGGAUACAUGUAGAAUCCUCCAUUGGAGGUCAGAUGUCUAUUGGUGGAUACAUGUAGAAUCCUCCAUUGGAGGUCAGAUGUCUAUUGGUGGAUACAUGUAGAAUCCUCCAUUGGAGGUCAGAUGUCUAUUGGUGGAUACAUGUAGAAUCCUCCAUUGGAGGUCAGAUGUCUAUUGGUGGAUACAUGUAGAAUGAAAUAAAAAAACAUUCUACGGACAGGAAUGUUUAUAAACACAUAUGAUAAACAAUAACAAUCAGAUGAAUGAUUUCUAAAUGAGAAGGUU
ensembl:lncRNA